AGGCGUCGCCCCAGGAGGGGCCGCGCAGGCCUCGGCCCGUGGCAGCUCCCCGCACCCGCUGCGGCUUCCGCACCGGCAGGCUCCCCGGGCGUGUGGGCCCACCGGGGUGCUCCGCUGGCCGCCCAGGGGGUGUCCGCUAGAUCCAGGAGCGGAUGCAAAGUCGCUUUGCAGGUGCUGGAAGCCAGAUGGAGCCAGUCGCUGUGUUAACGCUGGGCUGAGCCCUGCCGAAGCCUCCCCAGAAGGCGUGAAGGCGGGCGGCUGUUCCCUCCGCUCCGGGCUCACCUUGAGGGCCAGGGCCCUGGCAGCGUGAGGUGGGCGUCUCAGCCAAGGGCUGGCAAGUCUGGCUGGUGCUGGAGGAGAGGUGAAAAUAAACAGCAGGCAUCGGUCUGGUGGGCUUUGUGCUUGAAAUCUUCAACCAGUUUCCUUUUGAGCUGCUGUGGAUUUGGGGAGGGUUUUCACAUCUUAGACCUGCAUCCCGGGUGAGAGUUUUGUACGUCAGAGCUUGCUGGCAGUCCAGCCACCACGUCAGCUGUGUUAAAAGUGUCCUUGACAAGAAGAGUGAAAGAAAAACUCAGCACAGAGUUGGCAUUUCAGCUCUUAGUGGGGUUAACAGAACAUAUACUUUUUGUUUGGUUUUGCUCUGGAGCGGUGAUGGAGAUUUUGGGCUACAAUGACACACUAAAACUUCAUUCCUCUGCCCGAUUUUGCUAUUUGUGGUGUCAGCUAGGACAAUAUUUGCUUCAUAUUUCCAAACCACAGGAAAAGAGGUCACUGUCGUUUCUGGUGCUCGUACAGCACCUGCCACAAAGGUGGUUUUGCCUGGGUCUCCCAGGCACUGCAGGAGCAUAAAUGAUACUGUGUAUGUGCGUGUUAAUUACUCUUAUAUUGCCAUCUGCCAGGUUAACGGGCACCCCCGUGGCUCAGGGAGCAGCCGGCUUUGCCAGCAUGAUGGGAUGGGCUGUUUGCCCUCCUGAAUCGGGCAUCUUGGGGUCUGGGCGCGCCACUGCUGGGGCUGUAGCUGUCUGGGGCAGCGGCAUGAGCCAGCCUGCACGCAUCCCUGGACCGGCGUGGGCUGGGAGUGCCUGUCCCUGGGGGGGCCCAUGCGGGGCUGAGGGCCAGCAGGAGACAGCAUGCGCCUGGGGAGCAGAGCUGCAGCUCAGCUUCUUCCUGUGCUGGAGCGCCCGCCGUAGACUUCCAAGCCCCCCCAACCCACCCCGCCGCUGUGGGUGGUAUGUGAAUUUGGCUUUCUGCUCAGCAGUGGGUGUGAAGAGACUGUGAAUUCUCAUCAGCACUUUCGUUAUCUUAAUAAAAUUACUUCAGGUCUGUUAAGUUCUUUUGCAGAAAAAUAAGACAUAAUUGCAUGUUGCAUUAGCUUCUCCUUCCCCUGAGCCCCAAAAGAGCUCAUACCCUGGGUUUCACUUCCAUGGCCAUUCGUGAAAUCCACAUCAAGAGGCUAAGGGAUCUUCUCCAGGAGCCAGGACCAGCUCCUGGGGUGGCUGUAAUAAUUGGCUCCACCUUAAAAUCAAGGUGGAUGCCACACCCUCUAGUAACCGAAGUUGAUAGCAACAUAGCUUGUGCUGGACCUCGAGGGAACAGUUGCUGCCGUAGAGAUCCUUAGAUCCUUCCUUUGCUCUUCAGUCGCUGCCUGCCUGAUGAUACCUUGCAAAGAUCCUGGCCUCCAAGCACAUGGAUUCUGGAAGUGUUGCAGAGAACGAGAAUGUGCAGCUGCAGGAUAGGAAUGAGAGGCUGUACCGGCUCGGAGACCUGCAGGAGAGAAUGGGGAAGCUGGCUGGCUCCAAAACAGAUUUGUCAGCCAGAAUGGUCUUCAGUGAAGAGGAAAAACUGAAGAUUUCCAAAGACCUCGUUGAUCUCCAGAUCGAGACAAACAAAAUGAAGGAGCAGUAUGAGACAGAGAACUUUGAACUGAAAAAUAUGAUCCUGGCCCUGGAGAACCGCGUGCUGGAGCUGGAGCUCUGCAGUGAGAAAGUCACUGGGGAGCGAGAUGCCUUACGGGAACGCCUGCAUGCUCUGGAGACCAGUCGGAAGGAGCUGGCGGAUGAGUACAUCAUUUUGAAAAGUAAUUACCUGGCCCUAGGCAAAGAACUGGACCAGGAGGUCAUGAAGAAUGAAGAGCUCAGCCAAGAGCUGCUCAACCUGGCCAAUGCCAGGAGCACCCUUCCCCACACAGAGAGCAACCACUCCCCCGCCGUGGCCAAUGAAUCCUCUGCUGAGCUGGAAAAAGUGAGAGCAAUGGUGCAUCGUCUCUCUGCUCGGAAGGUGAAGUCAGAAGAUGCAGUUGCCUCUGAAUGUGAGCGGCAAAAGCUAGAGAGAAACUUGCCUGGAAACCAGGCUCACAUAAAAGUGGAGCUUGAAAAACUGAAGAAAACCUAUGAUUUGCAGCAGCAGAAGCUGGAAGAGAGAGUGAUCGCGAUGGGGAAGGAGCUGCAGGAGGCAAAGGGAGCAAUUGGAGACACCCAGCACAAGCUGGUGGAGCAGUCAGCGGUGCUGCUCACCUCCCAGAGCCAGCUCCAAGAGGUGGAGGCAGAGAACUCCCUGCUGCAGCUCCGGCUGAAGGAGCUGAACGAGGAAUACCGCUCCCGGCUCGCACAGUACAUCAAGGAUGUGGCGGACUACAUGGACAGCAAAUCCAGCAACGUAAUGGGGCCUAGCAAAGCCCCAGCUGAUCGUGCUCCUAUGAAACGCUUUGUGGACAGCAUGCUGAAGGACAUCAGGGCUUCCUACAAGUCUCGGGAAGAGCAGCUAGCUAGAGCAGCACGUGGCUACAAGAAACGCAUGAAAAACUUGGUCAAGAAGCAUGAGAACCUGCUGAUUGCUUACGGGCUCCAGCGAGAACAGAUCCGGUCCUUGGGCAGCAGCGCUAUGGAUUGUGGCCCUGCCGAGCUCCACUUUUCCAUCACAGACCCAGAGCUGCUGACAAACACAACCCGGGAGCUAAACCGGCUGCGGGAAGAUAAAGCAAAACUGGAGAUGCAGCUACAUGAACUGCAGAAGAUGGUGGCUGGGCUGCUGGCUUUCUGUGGCGGUGAAAUGGAGGUGGUGGGGAGAGUCCCACAAGCGAUAGAUUCAGCCCCUUCCUUGGGCAUUCCCUGAGGGUUUGCUGUGCCUGUGGCACAGGCAGGGGUAGUGCUUGCUUGCUUUCUCAUUUUGGGAAGAGGCGGGUUGUCCAAGCAGUCCCCUCGUUGCUUCAACCCUGCUGCAUAGGGGUGAGUUACAGUUAGAUCCAGGAGGCUGGGCAGCCCCAUAGAUUGGGGUCGCUGAGCUCUGGGAGGACUGAGGAGUAGCAGAUGUUAUGGGAGAACUGCCAGGCCAGCAGACUCACUCACUGCUAAAAGAAGAGGUGAGUAAGGGAGGAUAGAAUGGGGCUUUCCGUUCUUGAAUGCCUUUGCCUCAGUGUGAAUAGCUAACUGAGCAGGAGAUCGCAGUCAGAAACACGCCAGUCAGCUCCAUGUCCUCCCACUGGUUCUGCCUGGGCAGAGACGUGUCUCUUGAUUUGUGCGAGAUGCAUUUAUUUAAAAAUUCAGAGGACAGGAGACCUAAACCUUAAGAUUGUACUGGACAUCACUUCCUUGCCAGGGCACUGGUGGCUGUUAGAGUGCUAGGAUAUGUUGUGCCACUUCAAAGUGGCAGCGUCUAUGGUGAGAUUGCAAUGGUUUAAUGCUUAACAGGCAUACUGUUCUUCCUUUGCCUUCAGAAAAGACUGAAAGAAACCUCUGCCUUUCCGCUGUCUCCUGAGCAGCAGCUGGAUGAGGAGGGCUGGGCAGAGGUCAGGAAGCAGCUCCGGGAGUUUGCACACACCACCCAGGAGGAUUUGGAGCAUGAGAGAAGCCAGCUGCUGACUCGGGCAAUUGUGGCAGAAGAGCAGGUGUCGGAGCUGCAGGAAUACAUAGAUAAGCAUCUUGCAAGGUACAAGCAGGAGAUCCUCCGGUUGACGAAGCUUGCUGGCAGCGAGGUACCACGCACGCUCAGUGCUGGGGCGGCCGAUACUCACUCGCUGCCCAGAGCCAGAAGGACUGUCAGCCACAAACCGUAGCUCUCCACCACGGCUCUGAGGAGCAGUAAAAUUGUAGGAAAGAGCAGGAUUUAAAAGGAAGGAGCUUUCUGUUGUAUGGACUGGCUGGAGCAAGUAUCCUUCCCUGGCUGAGAGCUGGGAGGCACAGCAAGGGAAACCACAUGGGUGUUCUCGGUCUCAAAUUCACAGUACUAAAAUGAGACAAGACAACUGUGUCUCGUCUAUCCUCUGACCCCUCAGCUGUAGGAAUUCUGCUGUUCCCUGAGCACAUCACGCCUCGGGACAUGGGGUCAGGUUCCCAGGCAGCUUUUUACUGUGAGGCUGCAGGGACAGGUUCCCGUUCCUGCGAUAACAUUUCUCCUGUGUCAGACCUAGACCGGAGUCCAAGGGCUAACUCUGCUCCUGCCUUUGCUCCCCUCUCAGCUUCUAAGAGAUAGGGCCAGGGCUGGUUCAAGCUAGACUUUGGUCUAAGAAGUUAGUCAAAAAGAGGAUGAGCUGCUCUUUUAUGGUGGGAAAACCUUUUUUUUCUCUGUGUUUGAGUGGGAAAGGGAAUGUUAUAUAAGGUGAGCAGGGCCAAACUGAUCCUUCAGUGGGAGGUGAGCUGGACAAACUCCCUCGUGAGCUGCCUUCAAAGGGACGGCAGAGCAAAGCCUGAGGCUGGGAGCAGCACCUGCUCUGGCUCCAGGAGCACCCUGCAGCUCAAAGGCAAAGCAGUAGUCUCAAGGGAAGAAU